AGCGAACGCUGGCGGCAGGCUUAACACAUGCAAGUCGAGCGGGCACCUUCGGGUGUCAGCGGCAGACGGGUGAGUAACACGUGGGAACGUACCCUUUGGUUCGGAACAACUCUGGGAAACUGGAGCUAAUACCGGAUACGCCCUUAUGGGGAAAGGUUUACCGCCGAAGGAUCGGCCCGCGUCUGAUUAGCUAGUUGGUGAGGUAACGGCCCACCAAGGCGACGAUCAGUAGCUGGUCUGAGAGGAUGAUCAGCCACACUGGGACUGAGACACGGCCCAGACUCCUACGGGAGGCAGCAGUGGGGGAAUAUUGGACAAUGGGCGCAAGCCUGAUCCAGCCAUGCCGCGUGAGUGAUGAAGGCCUUAGGGUUGUAAAGCUCUUUUGUCCGGGACGAUAAUGACGGUACCGGAAGAAUAAGCCCCGGCUAACUUCGUGCCAGCCGCCGCUGUAAG
rnacentral:rRNA from 1 species